UGGUGGGAUAAAAAUGGGGGCCAACAUUUUAUCCCUAGUAUUUUGUGAAUGAAGACAUGGAAGGAGAACCAAGCCCCUAAGGUUAAAUUAUGCAAUUCCAGCGAAAUCAAGAUGGAAAUUUGGUGAUUUUCAUUUCAUUUGAAGAUUUCUAUCAUUUAGUGAUAUCUAAACCUAAGGUUAUUCGGGUCUUCCAUACAAAGUAAGGAAUGGUUGAAGAUCGAGCCGGGUUGUGGAUAUUACGGGGGCAUGAUCACAUAGUCAUUCGGACACUGCAUUUUAUCGUAUGUAAUAGAAAAGAAUGAAAUACGUAACACCUAUAAUAUAUUGAAAAAUUGUUUCCAAACGUUUAAGAAUGUUUUACAAAGCCUUUCCGCUGC
rnacentral:lncRNA from 1 species